AACCACUAUAGCUACAAGUAUAAUUAUACCAUUGAAUCAUGGAUAUGAUCACCACAACUGCACAAACUAAAGUCUGUGUUCUGUUUUCAGUUGUGCAACCAUAAUCCAUAGUUUCCCCUUGAUCCUAGUAAAAUAAGGCUACAGCUUUACAAGUUCUGUCACAGGAGAAGUGCUUUUAGUUCAAGUUAUUGUAGACCUGGUGUAUUGCAUCAAUCUGUUCUCACUUGA
rnacentral:lncRNA from 1 species